GGGCUUGUGGUCUAACGGCAUGACGUCACCUUCGCAGGGUGAAGGCUGGGGGUUCGAAUCCCCCCAAGUCCA
rnacentral:tRNA from 1 species